CGACCCUAGGUCAGGCGGGAUCACCCGCUGAGUUUAAGCAUAUCAAUAAGCGGAGGAAAAGAAACUAACAAGGAUUCCCUUAGUAACGGCGAGCGAACCGGGAAGAGCCAAACUUGAAAAUCGGACGUCUUCGGCGUUCGAAUUGUAGUCUGGAGAAGCGUCCUCAGCGAUGGACCGGGCCCAAGUUCCCUGGAAAGGGGUGCCAGAGAGGGUGAGAGCCCCAUCGUGCCCGGACCCUGUCGCACCACGAGACCCUGUCGCACCACGAGGUGCUGUCUACGAGUCGGGUUGUUUGGGAAUGCAGCCCCAAUCGGGCGGUAAAUUCCGUCCAAGGCUAAAUAUGGGUGAGAGACCGAUAGCGAACAAGUACCGCGACGUAAAGAUGAAAAGGACUUUGAAAAGAGAGUCAAAGAGUGCUUGAAAUUGUCGGGAGGGAAGCGGAUGGGGGCCGGCGAUUCGUCCCAGUCGGAUGCGGAAUGGAGCAAUCCGGGCUGCCAAUCGAUUCGGGCCGUGGACCGACGUGGAAUAAGGUGGUGACCUAAGCCCAGGCUUUUGUUACGCCCGUGGAGACGUUGCUGCCUUAAUCGUGGUCUACAGCACGCGCCUCACGGCGUGCCUCGGCAUCUGCAUGCUCACGGCGUCGGAGUGUGGGCUCCCCAGUCGACCCGUCUUGAAACACGGACCAAGGAGUCUGACAUUAGUGCGAGUCAACGGGUGAGUAAACCCGUAAGGCGCAUGGAAGCUGAUUGGCUGGAUCCCUCACGGGUGCACAGUCGACCGACCUUGAUCUUCUGAGAAGGGUUCGAGUGUGAGCAAGCCUGUCGGGACCCGAAAGAUGGUGAACUAUGCCUGAGCGGGGCGAAGCCAGAAAAAACUCUGAUGGAGACCCGCAGCGAUACUGACGUGCAAAUCAUUCGUCUGACUUGGGUAUAAGGGCGAAAGACUAAUCAAACCAUCUAGUAGCUGGUUCCCUCGGAAGUUUCCCUUAGGAUAGCUGGAGCUCGGGUAAAGCCAAUGAUUAGAGGCAUCAGGGACGCAAUGUCCUUGACAUAUUCUCAAACUUUAAAUAGGUAGGCGGGGUGGCUGCUUUGUUGAUCCAUCCCACGAAAUCGAGAGCUCCAAGUGGGCCAUUUUUGGUAUGCAGAACUGGCGAUGCGGGAUGAACCGGAAGCCGGGUUACGGUCCCAACUGCACGCUAACCUAGAACCCACAAAGGGUGUUGGUCGAUUAAGACAGCAGGACGGUGGUCAUGGAAGUUGAAAUCCGCUAAGGAGUGUCUAACAACUCACCUGCCGAAUCAACAAGCCUCGAAAAUGGAUGGCGCUGAAGCGCACGACCUAUACCCGGCUGUCGGGGCAAGAGCCAGGCCUAGAUGAGUUGGAGGGCGCGGCGAUCGCUGCAAAACCUAGGGCACGAGCCCGAGCGGAGCGGCCGUCGGUGCAGAUCUUGGUGGUAGUAGCAAAUAUUCCAAUGAGAACUUUGAAGGCCGAAGAGGGGAAAGGUUCCAUGUGAACCGCACUUGCACAUGGGUUAGUCGAUCCUAAGAGUCGGGGGAAACCUGUCUGAUAGCGCUUAUGCACGAACUUUGAAAGGGGAUCCGGUUAAAAUUCUGGAACCGGUACAUGGCGGUUGACGGCAACGUUAGGAAGUCCGGAGACGUCGGCAGGAAUUCCAGAAACAGUUAUCUUUUCUGUUUAGCAGCCUGCCCACCCUGGAAACGGCUCAGCCGGAGGUAAGGUCCAGUGGCUGGAAGAGCACUGCACGUUGCGUGGUCUCCGGUGUAUUCCCGGCGGCCCUUGAAAAUCUGGAGGACCGAGUGCUGCUCACGCCCGGUCGUACUCAUAACCGCAUUAGGUCUCCAAGAUGAACAGCCUCUGGUCGACGGGACAAUGUAGGCAAGGGAUGUCGGCAAAAUGGAUCCGUAAUUUUGGGAAAAGGAUUGGCUCUGAGGGCUGGGCUCGGGGGUCCCAGUUCCGAACCCAUCGACUGUUAGCGGGCUGCUUGAGCUGCUAACGUGGCGAGAGCGGACCACCUCGUGUCGGCCUGGGGACAGACUGGGAACGGCUCUUUCGGGAUCUUUCCCCGAGCAUCGAACAGCCAACUCAAAACUGGUAUGGACAAGGGGAAUCCGACUGUUUAAUUAAAACAAAGCAUUGCGAGGGUCCCUGCAGAUGCUAACGUAAUGUGAUUUCCGCCCAGUGCUCUGAAUGUACAAAGUG
rfam:Brassica napus, WGS project CCCW01000000 data, contig: 28907